rnacentral:sRNA from 1 species
UAUUUGCCUGAAGGGCCUGGGAUACGC